CCCCUGUGACUGCAUCCUAAUGAGCCUUGAGCCACCUGCCUCACACACCUCUGGCUUCUUUGUCUUCCCCUUCAGCUGGAGAAACUGAGGCUAGAGAACGUGGGAGGAGUGGCACCCCCAGUCAGAAAGAGUCACCUCAUCCUCAGCAAGGAACCCUGGGGACACACUACCUUCACCAUCCAGGCUGCUGAACAUCCCAGGAACAUUUUAAGAUAGCUGGUGACUGACCCAGAAGUACAGAAGUAUUUACAUUGUUGUUACUUUUAUACACUUGGACCAUCAUUUGCUUUUCCAUAUCUCAUAGCUGAGUUUGUAUUAAUGCCUCAAUGCCUCAAGACUGACAGCAUGAUGGGUAAAGGACUUCAGAUGUGAAUUAAUAAUAGAUUCUGCCUUAAUAUUCAUGAUGUAAUACUGAAAAGUAUGCCUGAGUUUUCAAAAACUGUAGAGGAAAUACACUGUAUAGAAAAUUU